CAAGUCAAGAACGGUGGUAAUCGACGGUCAGUGGAACUGUAUACGACUCCACUAUAGGGCGAUUGGAUUUAGCGGCCGCGAUCGCCCUUGUGCCAGCAGCCGCGGUAAUUCCAGCUCCAAUAGCGUAUAUUAAAGUUGUUGUGGUUAAAAAGCUCGUAGUUGGAUCUCGGCGGACUGAGGGCGGUUUGCUUGCUAGUAUUACUGCCCUAUAGUCCGUAGUUUUGCCAGAGGUUUCGGGGUGCUCUUAAUCGAGUGUCCCGGGAUGCUGGCAGGUUUACUUUGAAAAAAUUAGAGUGCUCAAAGCAGGCUAUUACGUCUGAAUAUUCGUGCAUGGAAUGAUAGAAUAGGAAGUCGUUUCUAUUUUGUUGGUUUUCGGAAAUCGACUUAAUGACUAAUAGGGACAGUCGGGGGCAUUUGUAUUCAAACGACAGAGGUGAAAUUCUUGGACCGUUUGAAGACAAACUACUGCGAAAGCAUUUGCCAAGAAUGUUUUCAUUAAUCAAGAACGAAAGUUAAAGGUUCGAAGGCGAUUAGAUACCGCCCUAGUUUUAACCAUAAACGAUGCCAGCUAGCGAUCUGCGGACGUUUUUUUUGUAGACUCCGCAGGAAGCUUCCGGGAAACCAAAGCAUUUGGGUUCCAGGGGAAGUAUGGUUGCAAAGCUGAAACUUAAAGGAAUUGACGGAAGGGCACCACCAGGAGUGGAGCCUGUGGCUUAAUUUGACUCAACACGGGAAAUCUCACCAGGCCCGGACACUGGAAGGAUUGACAGAUUGAUAGCUCUUUCUUGAUUCGGUGGGUGGUGGUGCAUGGCCGUUCUUAGUUGGUGGAGUGAUUUGUCUGGUUAAUUCCGAUAACGAACGAGACUCUGUCCUGCUAAAUAGUGUCUGCUUCUCUUUUGAGCAGACAAUUCUUCUUAGAGGGACUGGCGACUCUUAGUCGCACGAGAUUGAGCAAUAACAGGUCUGUGAUGC
rnacentral:rRNA from 1 species